rnacentral:lncRNA from 1 species
CAGUGGACAAAACAGAUGAGGUGGAGGAUCAUAUGUUGACGUUGAGCCUUAUGCUGUUAGCCGUUUACAACAUAAUUAAAUAUAACAUUAAAUAUACCCACAUUAUGCGUUAAGACAAGCCCCAUAUGUUGACGUUUAAACCGUUUACAACAUUAUUAAAUAUUACGUUAAAUAAACCUACAUUAAAGCGUUAAGACACGCCAGAUAUGUUGAUGUUGAUGUUGAGCCUUAUGCUGUAAACCGUUUUGUUGUCUGAGCAUGCGCGAUUAUGUUGAGCCUUAUGCCAUAAACCGUUUGUGUCUGAGCAUGCGCAAUGUGAGGGACUACUAUCCCCCAAAGGACUACCAUCGUGUAGCGACAGUGACUCGCAGAAUUUCUCCUCGACAUUCACGAUCAUGUCGAGGGGAAGCGGAAACAAUUCAUGCAUGACUGCAAGUAGCCUACUUUUCAUUUUCCUUGGACGGGAGUUAGCCAGCUACUGAUUUUACAAGAACUAUUGACAGUUCAUUUGAAAUGCAAGAGGAGUUAUUGAAAUUGGUGUCUUUGCAUGAUACCAGUAAGGGCACGGGCAUUUUCAACGCCAUUAAUAAUGUUGCAAGUGCGUAUGGUGGCUUUGGCAAGCUGUCAGCUGUUGUUACGGAUGGCGCGCAUUUUCAACGCCAUUAAUAGUGUUGCAAGUGCGUAUGGUGGCUUUGGCAAGCUGUCCGCUGUUGUUACGGAUGGCGCACCUGCGAUGCAGGGGAGACACACCGGUUUCACAGGGCGCAGAGUGAACCGCCAUAUACUGCACUGUAUCAUACAUCAGGCACUAAAAGCCACUGUGAAAAACCCCUGGUCCGAUUCUUUGUCACCAAAACGCACAAGAGUGAGGGUCGUUACACUUGUUUGGUGUGUUUUCAUUCUAAGAAGCAGAGGAACCACAACUUCACUCCCAUAGCUGGAACACUAGACUGAGGUAAGACCUACUUUGUGAUGAGCAGAAAUUAUCUAUGUAAGGGAUAAUGUAUUGUCCGGAGGUCAUUAUCCAAAAAUAAAUCCCGACGGGGCGAACA